GGUUUCCCGAUUUCCGUAACCGAGGUCAUUUGAAAGACGAAGUACAAUCUUAAAAUUCGACCUCCUUUAGUUGCUUAAGUAUUGUUUAAACAUGGUUGAUGCACAAGACUGUUUGUUACCAGAAGCUGAUGCUUACAAAAAAUUGCAAAGUUAUUAUGAAAACAAUAAAAAGAAUCUCAUAUUGAAAAAUCUCUUCUCUAGUGAUCCUGACAGGUUUGCAAAAUUCAGCAUUAUACUAAAGACCCCUGUAAAUGGAGAAAUUCUUGUUGAUUAUUCUAAAAAUCUAAUCAACGAUGAAGUUUUCAAACUUCUCAUCGAAUUGGCAAAACAACGGAAAGUUGAGAAAGCUAGAGAUGCAAUGUUUAGCGGACAGAAGAUAAAUUUUACUGAAAAUCGUGCUGUAUUGCAUAUAGCUCUUCGUAAUCGUAGUAACACUCCUAUAUCAGUUGAUGGAAAAGAUGUAAUGCCAGAUGUAAAUGCAGUACUUGCACACAUGAAAGAAUUUAGUGACUUAGUACGAAAGGGUGAAUGGAAAGGAUAUACUGGAAAGCCCAUUGAAGAUGUUGUAAAUAUUGGAAUUGGUGGAUCAGAUUUGGGUCCGUUAAUGGUAACUGAAGCCUUGAAAGCAUAUCACACUACGGGGCCAAAUGUUCAUUUUGUUUCAAAUAUUGAUGGAACUCAUUUAGCUGAGACUUUAAAAAAGUUAAAUCCUGAAACUGCCUUAUUUAUUAUAGCAUCAAAGACUUUCACAACACAAGAAACUAUAACUAAUGCUGAAUCUGCAAAAGCGUGGUUCUUGGAAACAGCAAAAGAUCAAUCUGCAGUUGCUAAGCACUUUGUAGCUCUUUCAACAAAUGCACCUAAAGUCAAAGAGUUUGGAAUUGAUGAAAAGAAUAUGUUUGGAUUCUGGGAUUGGGUUGGAGGACGUUAUUCAUUAUGGUCUGCCAUAGGACUCUCUAUCGCUUUAUAUUUAGGGAUGGAUAAUUUUGAACAAUUGCUUGAAGGUGCUCAUUACAUGGAUAAACAUUUUUUAAAUACACCUUUGGAAAAAAAUGUUCCUGUAAUCUUGGCUUUGCUUGGUAUAUGGUAUUCUAAUUUUUAUGGAGCUGAGAGCCAUGCUUUACUUCCAUAUGAUCAGUACAUGCAUAGGUUUGCUGCUUAUUUUCAACAAGGAGAUAUGGAGUCAAAUGGAAAAUAUGUCACUCGCAGUGGUGAAGUAGUAACUUACACAACAGGUCCAAUUGUUUGGGGAGAACCAGGAACUAAUGGACAGCAUGCAUUUUAUCAAUUAAUCCAUCAAGGUACAAGACUCAUUCCAUGUGAUUUCAUAGCUCCUGUUCAAACUCAUAAUCCUAUCAACAAUGGACUUCAUCAUGAGAUCUUAUUAGCAAAUUUCCUUGCUCAGCCAGAGGCAUUAAUGAGAGGCAAAACCAAAAGUGAAGCUGAAGAAGAGUUAAAGAAAGCUGGUAUGUCUGAUGAAACUCUGCAAAAAAUUUUACCACAUAAGGUCUUCCUUGGUAACAAACCAACUAAUUCUAUAGUUGUGGAUAAAAUAACACCUUUCAACUUAGGAGCUUUGAUCACCAUGUAUGAACACAAGAUAUUCACUCAAGGAAUAAUCUGGGAUAUUAAUUCAUUUGACCAAUGGGGGGUAGAACUGGGAAAGCAGUUGGCUAAAUUGAUUCAACCUGAACUGAAAGGCAAAGAACCUGUAUCCACUCAUGAUAGCUCUACUAAUGGGCUAAUCAAUUUUAUUAAAAAAUUCCAUUAAGAAACUGAUGUAUGAUGCCACCUCCUUAUUUUAAAGAUUUGAAAACUGAAUUCAGUAUUAUGAGUUUCUCUGGUGAUUGUAAAAUUACGGGUUUGCAUCUCAGAACUGAAGAAAUACGUCAUCUAUUAUCAAACCGAUAAUUCUCUCUCGUAGGUGAUAGUAAAAUUAUGGGUUUGCAUCUUAGAACUGAAGAAAUGCAUCUAUUAUUCAUUGAUGAGUAAAGAUCAGUUGAUUAUACCAAUGAAAGCAUGCAUGGAGCAUUUGGGGGGGGAGGAGAAAAGUAGAACACCUUAUUAUCUGCUGCUUCUGCAAAAUGUUCUAACAUCAUAUUUGUGUAUAUUGAAAUAAGAGCAAUGACAGAUGAGAGACAAACCUCCACUUAUAGUCAAUAUGAAUGUGUGCACGAUACAGGAUGAACAUUGGCAUAGCUGUGAGGACAUACCAAUAUUGAAAAAUCAUAACAUUUAUACUUCAUACUCAUUGCACAUGAGGCUAUAUGUUACAUAUUUAAAAAAGCAAAAUCUUAACCUAACUCCGAUAUAUGAGAGAAAUAUGAAAGUGAAUCAUUUCUUAAAACAUUUAUUUAUAAAACUCAAAAAAUUCUCUAUAUCAAGCAAUAAUUUAUUAAGAGCAUUUUGUGUAGUUUGCAAGAAUAGUACAUAAAUUAAUGCAUACUUCAGAAUUACUUUGCAGUCAAAAUCAACAUUAUAAAUAACUUUCAAUGUUAAUUUGUCAUGCCUUAUUUGGCUAAGUUUUUUUUAUUUCACUGAAAAUUAAUGACUAAUGUAGCUAAAGACAUGCUAAAUUAACCUGGAAAGUUAUUUCUCAGUUUCACUUUCUUUGGCAUCAGCUCCAGAUAAUAAUCCCAAUAAUGCAUUUUCGACACCAGUUUCAGGAAGAUUUCAUCAGAUGCAUUCAGAAUAAACAAUUUCAAAUUUUUCUAGUUCUAUAAUUUUCAGCAAAAUUCAUAUUUUGUUUUUGAUUAAAUUUAAUAAUAAAUUUAUUUUCCCUCCUGCCUUUA
rnacentral:misc_RNA from 1 species